rnacentral:lncRNA from 1 species
UUGAACUUGAGUUUGUGUGUUUUUUGAACUUGAGUUUCUGUUGUUUUUUAACUUAAUGUUGUUGAAAUCUUUAAACUUGAGAAUUGUGUAUUGUUUGAUCUUUAGUUUGUGUGUUUGUUAAACUUGGGUUUGUGUCGUGUUUGAACUUGAGUUUGUGAUGUUUUUGAACUUGAGGUUGUGGAGAUUUUUUAUCUUGAGAAUUGGGUAUUGGUCGAACUUGAGUUUUUGUUGCUUUUUAACUUGAGUUUGUGACGUGUUUAAACUUAGGUUUUGGUGUGUUUUAACUUGAGUUUGUGUGUUUGUUGAACUUGAGGAUGUGGCAAUAGCUAAACUUAAGAUUUGGGUGUUGGUUGAAUUUGAGUUUGUGUCAUGUCUGAACUUGAGUUCAUGAUGUUUGUUUAACUUUAUUUUGUGUGUUUUUUGAACUUGAGGUUUUGAAAAUUUUUAAACUUGAGAAUCAGGUGUUUGUUGAACUUGAGUUUGUGGUUUUUUUUACUUGAGUUUGUGUCGUGUUUUAACUUGAGUUUGUGUUUUUUUUUAACUUGAGGUUGUGGAAAUUGUUAAACUUGAGAAUCUGGUAUUGGUUGAACUUGAGUCAUUGGUGUUUUUGAACUUGAGUUUGUGUCGUGUUUGAACUUGAGUUUGUGGUGUUUUUGACCUUGAAUUUGCGUGUUUGGUGAACUUGAGUUUGUGUGUUUGUUGCACUUGAGGUUGUGGCAAUUUUUAAACUUGAGACUUGGAUAUUGGUUGACCUUGAGUUUGUGUCGUGUUUCAACUUGAGUCUGUGUUCUUUUUGAACUUGAGCUUGUGGAAUUGUAAAACUUGAGAAUCAGGUGUUGGUUGAACUUGAAUUUGUGUUUUUUUUUAAACUUGAGUUUGUGUUGUGUUUGAACUUGAGUAUGUUGUGUAUUUGAACUUCAGUCUGUGUUGUUUUUGAACUUGAGGUGGUGGAAAUUGUUCAACUUGAGAAAGUGGGUAUUGGUUGAACUUGAGUUUAUAUUGUUUUUGAACUUGUGUUUGUGGUGUGUUUGAACUUGAGAUUCUGUGUUAUUUGAACUUGAGGUUGUUAAAAUUUUUAAACUUGAGAAUCAGGUGUUGGUUGAACUUGAGUUUGUGGUUUUUGUUGAACUUGAGUUUGUGGUGUGUUUGAACUUGAGAUUGUGUGUUAUUUAAACUUGAGGUUGUGAAAUUUUUUAAACUUGACAAUCAGGUGUUGGUUGAACUUGAGUUUGUGUUGUGUUUGAACUUGAUUUUGUGCCGUUUUUUAACUUGAGUUUGUGGUGAUUUUGAACUUGAGUCUGUGUUGUUCUUGAAUUUGAAGUUGUGGAAAUUGUUAAACUUGAGAAUUGGGUCCUGGUUGAACUUGAGUUUUUGGUGUUUUUGAACUUGAGUUUGUGUCGUGUUUGAACUUGAGUUUGUGGUGUUUUUGAACUUUAAUUUGCGUGUUUUGUGAACUUGAGUUUGUGUUUUUUGAACUUGAGUUUCUGUUGUAUUUGAACUUGAGGUUGUGGAUAUUGUUAAACCUUUGAAUCAGGUGUUGGUUGAACUUGAGUUUGUGUGUUUGUUGAACUAAAAUUCGUUGAACUUGAGUUUGUGGCAAUUGCUGAACUUGCGUCUGUGGUGUAGCAAUCAAGACAACCCUGGGUGUGAAACUCACACAUUUCUCACAGGAAAGUUUCCUUAUCUGGUCCCAGGACACAGGAUAUAAAUCUUUCCAGACUUGUUUGCACUUUCAGGUUAAAUGACCCGACCGGAGGUUGACUAAACCUCUGACUCUUCACGAUUGGUCAAUUCGGAGAACAGAGACAGAGUUUUUAUUACCUUUCAAACUGACUCCAUUGCUGACCAUCUAAAUAAACAUUAACGUCUCAACCUAGAUCUCCCAUUUGAGAUUUACCUUCUUAAAGUGUGUGAACAUACAGACCCCAGGAGAAGAGGGGACACUGACCUCCAGACCUCGGUCGUAAAACCCUGCUCGACCAUUCACUGAUAAAGACUGCAUUCCUUUGGUGAAAGAAUACAAAUGACUGAUCCUGACAUCUUAUGCAUUCAGCAAUGUACUAAUCUGUCUAAUCAUGAAAUAUGUGUUAAAAUGAGAUGUUUCCCGUUUUUCUAUGUGCUCCAGAAGCAGAAUUAUUACUCGGACAGAAUAAAUCCUUUAUUCUUAAGUUUCUUUAGACCAACAGCUUUUCAGACUGUUUCAUGAACUUUUAAGAGUUAAAUUUAUUGACUAUGAAUGUUUGAUGUGAUCCUACACUUCAUUCAUAUAUGUUUAGUAUUGAAUUAUUUAUCAUGAAACCAAGCAUUCAAUGAUAUUAAUCAUAGUGAGUGAGUAUCAGAUCUGACUCUUUUACCAGCCAAAAGAAUAAGGUAGAUCAAAUAAUCAGAGACCCCAUGAACCCUCCUCUUUCUCCUCACACACACACGCCAGAGCCACUCCCAGUGUGAGAAGAUAAAACCAGUGAAGUGGGGUUGCUCACUCUCUUGUCUGCUCUCUCUUAUGCCCCUUACUCUUCUCCCCUUUUGGGUCUUCUGUCCACACCCUUCUGUGGUCCUCUUCUUUGUUUUCUCUUAGAACUUUUUCUUACUCUUCUAAGUUUUACACCACGUGUUGAUUCACGUUGAUUUUUCUUUAACAUCGUCUUAGUUCAAGUUUUGAAACUUCAACUUUUUGUGCGCAUAGCAAUUCAAGAUUAAGCUUUUGAUUGAUUUUUCUUUAAUUUCGUGAGGCCAUUUUUGAAAGUUAUCUCUGCUCAUCGAACCUCGUUUUUCUGAGUUAUCUGUGUGAUUUCAAAGUCACCUCUGAACGCAACCCAGCAGGCCCAGGUCAUCCUCUGUGCCAGAGUUUUUGAGUGAGACCAAAGAAGCAUCCAAACGAGCAUCCACAGGAUCCACAGGCGCCGGCUUUACUUCAGGCCCGAGUGCUACAACUCCUGGCCCAUUCUUCAGCUGACUUCAGUCGUCUUUUGAGCUGAACCGCUCGAAUCGCCGUUAGCCCCGGACCUUCGGAACCUGCUCCAUCUUCUCCAAGGACCAGUCUCACUUAAGUAUGCAAACCUCCAGAGCUCCAAACAGGGCUGAUGCUGUCUCAUGCGUUCAUAACUCAGAUAUCCACUUAUUCUGGUAAUCUCAGAUUCCUCCAAAUCCACAUCCGAGUUUAUCUUGACACCAAAGUUAGUGUAGGUUAAUAUGUUAGAGCAUAUUCACUCACUAUCAUUAACUUUAGUGCUCCUAGCCUGACUCAGAAUCUUUAUUUAUUCACCUAUUGUUAUAUAUCCUCAUUAUCUUAUCAUCAUUUAUUGCAUGUGUGUUGUACCAUCAUUUAUGCUGUAAUAAACAGAUCAUUAUUUUUCUAAGUUCUUGUCUGUUAGUGUUCUUCCAGAAGUGGAGUCCCUGAAAUGAGAAUUUCGGCUUAAGAUAUGAGAUUGAUUAAUUAAUGAUUGACUUGAUGUUUGAUUUCUGAAUUAAACUUUAGUUUUCUUUAUUUUCCCACCAUUAAGGGUGGGUGGUGCCCCUUUCAACGAGUGCAUAAAUGUCAUAACUUGAGAUUAUUAAUCUUCAGACAUUUCUUAUAAAUUCAAAUCGCUACAGUAUUAUUUUGGUGCGACCGUGUGAGGCUAAUUUCAAACCGUAUUAUUUUGGUGCCGCUGUGUAAGGCUCAUUUCAAAUCGCUACAGUGGUUUUUAAUGAACUUUAAUUGGUGUCAAUUUUUGAACUUGAGUUUGUGUGUUGGUUGAACUUGAGUUUGUGGUGUGUUUGAACUUGAGUUUGUGUGUUGGUUGAACUUGAGAUUGAAGUGUGUUUAAACUUGAGUUUGUGUGUUGGUUGAACUUGAGUUUGUGUCAUGUUUGAACUUGAGUUUUUUGUGUUUUUUGAACUUGAGUUUGUGGCAAUUGUUGAACUUGCGUCUGUGGUUUUUCUGAACUUUAAUCUCUGGCUAUUUUUAACUUGAGUUUUUGGCGUUUGUUGAACUUAAGUUUGUGUCGUGUUUGAACUUGAGUUUGUGGUGUUUUUGAACUUGAUUUUGUGUGUUUGAUGAACUUGAUUUUGUGUUUUGUUUGAACUUGAGUUUGUGGUGUUUUUGAACUUGAGGUUGUGGAAAUUGUUAAACCUGAGAAUCAGGUGUUGGUUGAACUUGAGUUAGUGUGUUUGUUGAACUUGAGUUUGUGUUGUGUUUGAACUUGAGUUUGUGGUGUUUUUGAACUUGAGUUUGUGUGUUUGAUGAACUUGAUUUUGUGUUUUGUUUGAACUUGAGUUUGUGGUGUUUUUGAACUUGAGGUUGUGGAAAUUGUUAAACAUAAGAAUUGGGUAUUGGUUGAGUUUUUUUUGUUUUUGAACUUGAGUUUGUGUCAUGUUUAAACUUGAGUUUGUGCUGUGUUUGAAUUUGAGUUUGUGUUUUUUUUAACUUGAGUUUGUGAAAAUUUUUAAACUUGAGAAUUAGCUGUUAGUUGAACUUGAGUUUGUGGUUUUUGUUGAACUUGAGUUUGUGUCGUGUUUGAACUUGCGUUUGUUGUGUUUUUGAACUUGAGUUUCUGUUGUUUUUGAACUUUAGGUUUUGAAAAUUGUUAAACCCGGGAAUCAGGUGUUGGUUGAACUUGAGUUAGUUUGUUUGUUGAACUUGAGUUUGUGGUGUGUUUGAACUUGAGUUUGUGUGUUGGUUGAACUUGAGUUUGUGUCGUUUUUGAACUUGAGUUUUUUGUGUUUUUGAACUUGAAUUUGCGUGUUUGGUGAACUUGAGUUUGUGUGUUUUUUGAACUUGAGUUUCCGUUGUUUUUGAACUUGAGGUUGUGGAAAUUGUUAAACCUGGGAAUCAGGUGUCGGUUGAACUUGAGUUAGUUUGUUUGUUGAACUUGAGUUUGUGGUGUAUUUGAACUUGAGUUUUUGUGUUUUUUGAACUUGAGUUUGUGGCAAUUGUUGAACUUGCGUCUGUGGUUUUUACUGAACUUUAAUCUCUGGCUAUUUUUAACUUGAGUUUUUGGCGUUUGUUGAACUUUAGUUUGUGUCGUGUUUGAACUUGAGUUUGUGGUGUUUUUGAACUUGAGUUUGUGUGUUUGAUGAACUUGAGUUUGUGCUGUGUUUGAACUUGAGUUUGUGUGUUUGUUGAACUUGAGCUUGUGGCAAUUGUUAAACUUGAGAUUUGGCUGUUGGUUGUGUUUUUUGAACUUGAGGUUGUGAAAAUUUUUAAACUUGAAAAUCAGUUGUUUGUCGAACUCGAGUUUGUAGUUUUUGUUAACUUGAGUUUUGUCAUGUUUUAACUUGAGUUUGUAGUUUUUGUACUUGAUUUUAUGGUGUUUUUGAACUUCAGUUUUUGUCAUGUUUGAACUUGAGUU